GGAACCGUGUCAGAUAUGCCUCAAAAUUGCCCACCCGAGGGAUGUAUUAGAGGAGUAUUUAGACUUUGGGUCUUGUUACUGUUGGUCAAGGGUCACCUCAUGAGAUAUUAAUUCUACCCCACUUCCAGGUUUAUGCAAACAUCAAAUGUGGCAUCCCACAUGGCAGCAGCAGAAAGGCACUGGGGUAGAAGAUGAGUGAUAAUGAGGUUACCCCGGAAUGCAGUUGGUUGGCUGGCAUGCAAAGAAUGAACAUGAUGACUGAGGGAGGCUUCACCUAUACCAGUGUUUGGAAUGUCCCAUUCUGUGUCAUCCUGGAAGUUUUUACACCAUAAUUCAAUUCACAGUGUGUGACAGGUGAGUCUUUUAUUCCUGAAGUGGAAACCCUACAGUACGGAACAGCUGUGGAGGGGAAGGAAUGAAAGAGAAACAGGCUAAUCCUCCCCCAGGUUCUCAGGCAGGUCAGUUCUAGGAAGAUGUACAAAUAAAGUUGAAGAUAUGAAAAUUGACUUUUAAAAUAAUUAUCCAUAUCUCUGUACACCUCAGAAAGUCUUUGUCUUUUUCAGGGAUCUUCUCACUUUGUUGGAUAUCUGAAAUGUGUAUAUGUUUUUUUUGGAAGCAGAGUCUCACUCUGUUGCCCAGGCUGGAGUACAGUAGCACAAUCAUAGCUCACUGCAGCCUUGACCUUCUGGGCUCAAGUGAUCCUCCUGCCUCAGCCUCCUGUGUAGCUGGGACUACAGGCAUGUGCCAUCAUGCCCAGCUAAUUUUUUAAUUUUUGAGGGAGACAGAGUCUCACUAUGUUACUCUGGCUGGUUGCGAACUCCUGGCCUCAAGUGAACUGCCUUGGCCUCUCAAAAUGCUGGGAUUACAGGCAUGAACCACUGGCCCAGCCUGAGGUGUGUAUUGUUAUUGUUUGCUUUGAUGUUGCUCCCUGCAACCCGAAUCAUGCCUUACUGCCAAUUCCUAGAAGCAUUUACUCCAUUGCCAACAGUGAACUUUUAUGGGAAAUUGGG
rnacentral:lncRNA from 1 species